CCCUCCCAGCCUCAGCUGCAGCCACAGGGGUCAGCGAAGGCAAAGCCAGCCGCCUCCACCCAGAAGGCACCGGAGCAGAGAGGCUGCGGGAGAAAGUCCUUUGGCAUCCUGCUGGGGGUGUGUCUGCUGCUGUCGACAGCCGCCUUUGUGCUCACGCUCCUGAAAUGGAUCCCCUGCUGCCCGCAGGGCUGGGUGGAGUUCCAGAAGAAAUGCUACUUUUUGUCCCCCAAGAAGACCUUCUGGGUUGCAGCUCAGAACUCCUGCAUCAGCUACAGCGCACACCUGGCUGUCAUCCGCAACCAGUGGGAGCAGGCCUUCCUGGCAGGUGGGAUCAAUUCCACUGAGCACUGGAUCGGCCUAAGUGUCAGAGACCAGGAAAGCCAUUGGUCCUGGGUGGACAACUCACCAGUGUCAUACGAAUAUUGGCCUGCGGGAUCCCCCAGUGUAGGCACUCAGAAAAAAUGUGCCCAUCUCACAGGCGAGGACAGAGGCGUGUGGAAAGCUGAGCCGUGUGGCACUCCCUAUAAGUACAUUUGUGAACGAGCUGGGCCUUUGUGCACCUAAUUUGCACCUUUGGAAACAUUUUGCUGUUCUGAGGCUUAUUUUCGUUCAGCAGCCAAUAAAAGUCAAGAGAGCCCUGGGUGCCUUUGUGGGCGAGCGCCCCGCGCUGAGCCGGGCCGAGUCAGAGCUACUGAAUACGGAGAGAUCUAGAGGACUUUAAACUGUCCACCUCCCUCCUAGCCAAACAAACUCCCUGGGUCGUGUGCAGAGCUCUGCACCAGCUGUGUGAUCCCGCUCAUGUAAGAUCCAGGCCAGGUGUGCAGCACCAUUGGCUGCCACUGAAAUCAGACAUGCCCAGCGCCCCCCCACAGUCCUUCUGCUGCCCCCAUUGCUCCCAGGAUCCCUCCUUCCCACUAGGUGCAGUCCCCAGGGUGCCCACAAAUUGGCCGCCCUAGCGUUUAAAUCUGCCGCCCAGAGGACUCAGUCUAGGAGGGUAGGGGGUGUUCUGUGCACGGAGGGCAGGGAUCCCCCGGUAGCUCCAGGCACACGUCCCUCGCCGGUGGAGAGAGACAUCUGGGUUCAGCUUGCUGGGCACUCAGAGCUCUGCAGAAAUCCCUCUUCCGCUCCAGUGUGUGAUCCUGGGCCCUCUCCGCUCCACCUGCCAGGCCCUGACCCCACGUCCCUCCGGCCAGGGGCUGCCCAGAACUAGCUGCACAGACAGGAUCAGGCUCUUUGGCGUCGGCGGGAAUCACCCACCUGAAGUCCCACAGCAAGUGAAUCUAGAUACCCAGCCGUGCUCUAACUACUAGACGCCACUCCCCUCCCCGUACUGGGGAGUGAAUCCAGGAUGCCUGACUCUGCUCGCACAUCUUGCCUUGUGCUGAGCCCACCUGUCUCUGUCCAUUUGCCUGCACCUGGAGGCCCCCCGACCCCUGGCACUCUGAGGAGCACAGUGUGUGGAGGAGAAUGGAGCAAGGGUGCUGUUAAAGGGAGUGACCACAUGGUGGCGCUGUUACUCCAGGAGUGGGGCUAGGCGGGGGGCGGGCGGGAGAAGAGGCAGCUGCAGAAUGAAUUCCCAGCUCUGCUCAGCAGGGCCACACCUGACAUGGGCCUGAAGACCCUGGAAUCCUCAUCUUCAGAAGAACCAUCUUCCCAGCCUGCUGCUCUUUGCAUCCCACCCCUGAGGCCCCCUUAGCACAUCAGGCUGCCCCCCUUCGCUGUCAACUGGAGCAAAGGGACAUUUUCCAGACAAAUCUUUUUUUUUCUGGCAAAACGGAAGAUCCAGCAACACUGAAGAGCCCAUUGGGCAAAUCUGAGUCGUUUCACUGCCCAGCUGGCUUCAGGGGGGAGACGGAGGCAAAAGUUGAAACGGUUGGUCCUGGCUGUUGGAAAUGACUUUUUGGUUACACCCGUCCUUGGACUGUAUUUAAAACAAUGCGAAACCAAUAAAAAAA